GCAUUGUUGGUCUAGUGGUUAGGAUUCAACCCUUCCAAGGUUGGGGCUCGGGUUCGAUUCCCGAACAAUGCA
rnacentral:tRNA from 1 species